GUUUGAUCCUGGCUCAGAUUGAACGCUGGCGGCAGGCCUAACACAUGCAAGUCGAGCGGUAGAGAGAAGCUUGCUUCUCUUGAGAGCGGCGGACGGGUGAGUAAUACCUAGGAAUCUGCCUGAUAGUGGGGGAUAACGUUCGGAAACGGACGCUAAUACCGCAUACGUCCUACGGGAGAAAGCAGGGGACCUUCGGGCCUUGCGCUAUCAGAUGAGCCUAGGUCGGAUUAGCUAGUUGGUGAGGUAAUGGCUCACCAAGGCUACGAUCCGUAACUGGUCUGAGAGGAUGAUCAGUCACACUGGAACUGAGACACGGUCCAGACUCCUACGGGAGGCAGCAGUGGGGAAUAUUGGACAAUGGGCGAAAGCCUGAUCCAGCCAUGCCGCGUGUGUGAAGAAGGUCUUCGGAUUGUAAAGCACUUUAAGUUGGGAGGAAGGGCAUUAACCUAAUACGUUAGUGUCUUGAC
rnacentral:rRNA from 1 species